rnacentral:tRNA from 1 species
GGAGACUCAGUGGUAGAGUGCUUGCCUUGCAUGCAUGAGGCCCUGGGUUCGAUUCCUCAGCACCA